rnacentral:rRNA from 1 species
CGCUGGCGGCGUGCUUAACACAUGCAAGUCGAACGAUGAACCACUUCGGUGGGGAUUAGUGGCGAACGGGUGAGUAACACGUGGGCAAUCUGCCCUGCACUCUGGGACAAGCCCUGGAAACGGGGUCUAAUACCGGAUACUGAUCCUCGCAGGCAUCUGCGAGGUUCGAAAGCUCCGGCGGUGCAGGAUGAGCCCGCGGCCUAUCAGCUAGUUGGUGAGGUAACGGCUCACCAAGGCGACGACGGGUAGCCGGCCUGAGAGGGCGACCGGCCACACUGGGACUGAGACACGGCCCAGACUCCUACGGGAGGCAGCAGUGGGGAAUAUUGCACAAUGGGCGAAAGCCUGAUGCAGCGACGCCGCGUGAGGGAUGACGGCCUUCGGGUUGUAAACCUCUUUCAGCAGGGAAGAAGCGAAAGUGACGGUACCUGCAGAAGAAGCGCCGGCUAACUACGUGCCAGCAGCCGCGGUAAUACGUAGGGCGCAAGCGUUGUCCGGAAUUAUUGGGCGUAAAGAGCUCGUAGGCGGCUUGUCACGUCGGUUGUGAAAGCCCGGGGCUUAACCCCGGGUCUGCAGUCGAUACGGGCAGGCUAGAGUUCGGUAGGGGAGAUCGGAAUUCCUGGU